GACGAACGCUGGCGGCGUGCUUAACACAUGCAAGUCGAACGGAAAGGCCCUGCUUUUGUGGGGUGCUCGAGUGGCGAACGGGUGAGUCACACGUGAGUAACCUGCCCUUGACUUUGGGAUAACUUCAGGAAACUGGGUCUUAUACCGGACAGGAGCUCCUGCUGCAUGGUGGGGGUUGGAAAGUUUCGGCGGUUGGGGAUGGACUCGCGGCUUAUCAGCUUGUUGGUGGGGUAGUGGCUUACCAAGGCUUUGACGGGUAGCCGGCCUGAGAGGGUGACCGGCCACAUUGGGACUGAGAUACGGCCCAGACUCCUACGGGAGGCAGCAGUGGGGAAUAUUGCACAAUGGGCGGAAGCCUGAUGCAGCAACGCCGCGUGCGGGAUGACGGCCUUCGGGUUGUAAACCGCUUUCGCCUGUGACGAAGCGUGAGUGACGGUAAUGGGUAAAGAAGCACCGGCUAACUACGUG
rnacentral:rRNA from 1 species